GGAAGUCAGAACCAGCCAUGCCGCGUGAAGGAUGACGGCCCUAUGGGUUGUAAACUUCUUUUAUAGAGUGAAGAAACUUGUCUACGUGUAGACAACUUGACGGUACUCUACGAAUAAGGAUCGGCUAACUCCGUGCCAGCAGCCGCGGUAAUACGGAGGAUCCAAGCGUUAUCCGGAUUCAUUGGGUUUAAAGGGUCCGUAGGCGGGUCUUUAAGUCAGUGGUGAAAGCCGACUGCUCAACUGUCGAACUGCCAUUGAUACUGGAGACCUUGAGUACAAAUGAAGUAGGCGGAAUGAGUCAUGUAGCGGUGAAAUGCAUAGAUAUGACUCAGAACACCGAUUGCGAAGGCAGCUUACUAACAUGUAACUGACGCUGAGGGACGAAAGCGUGGGGAGCGAACAGGAUUAGAUACCCUGGUAGUCCACGCCGUAAACGAUCAUCACUCGCUGUUGGCGAUAUACUGUCAGCGGCCAAGCGAAAGUAUUAAGUGAUGCACCUGGGGAGUACGCCGGCAACGGUGAAAACUCAAAGGAAUUGACGGGGGCCCGCACAAGCGGGGGGAGCAUUGUGGUUUAAUUUCGAUGAUACCGCGAGGGAACCCUUACCCAAGGGGCUUAAAUGGAGUAUUGAACCCC
rnacentral:rRNA from 1 species